UGAAUACGAGAUGCUAAGGCGUCGAAGUAGUGUAUGUCAUACUUCCAAGAAAAGCUUGCACUGUCAUAGAUAAAAAACGCCUGUACCAUAACCGACACAGGUGGGUAGGUAGAGUAUACUAAGGGGCGCGAGAUAACUCUCUCUAAGGAACUCGGCAAAAUAACUCCGUAACUUCGGGAGAAGGAGUGCCUUAUUAUUAAGGCUGCAAUAACAAGAUCCAAGCAACUGUUUAUCAAAAACACAGGUCUCCGCUAAGUCGUAAGACGAUGUAUGGGGGCUGACGCCUGCCCAGUGCCAGAAGGUUAAAGAAGUUGGUUAGCAUUUGCGAAGCUGAUAACUGAAGCCCUGGUGAACGGCGGCCGUAACAAUAACGGUCCUAAGGUAGCGAAAUUCCUUGUCGGGUAAGUUCCGACCCGCACGAAAGGCGUAAUGAUUUGGAUACUGUCUCGGAGAGGGGCUCGGUGAAAUAGACUUGUCUGUGAAGAUGCGGACUACCUGCACCAGGACAGAAAGACCCUAUGAAGCUUUACUGUAACUUGAAAUUGAAAUUGGACUUUAUUCGCGCAGCAUAGGUGGGAGGCGUUGAUUAUAAUCUUGUGGGAUUAUUGGAGCCAUCAGUGAGAUACCACUCUUGUAAUGUUAGAUUUCUAACUUUGAAUCAUUAUCUGGUCAAAGAACAGUUUCAGGCGGGCAGUUUGACUGGGGCGGUCGCCUCCUAAACGGUAACGGAGGCGUACAAAGGUUUCCUCUGAACGGUUAGAAAUCGUAUCUAGAGUGUAAAGGCAUAAGGAAGCUUGACUGUGAGACCUACAAGUCGAGCAGGGACGAAAGUCGGUCUUAGUGAUCUGACGGUACUGAGUGGAAAGGCCGUCACUCAACGGAUAAAAGUUACUCUAGGAUAACAGGCUGAUCUCCCCCAAGAGUUCACAUCGACGGGGAGGUUUGGCACCUCGAUGUCGGCUCAUCGCAUCCUGGGGCGGUAGUACGUCCCAAGGGUUGGGCUGUUCGCCCAUGAAAGCGGUACGCGAGCUGGGAUCAGAACGUCGUGAGACAGUUCGGUCCAUAUCCGGUGUAGGCGUUAGAAUAUUGAGAGGAGCCUUCUUUAGUACGAGAGGACCGAGAAGGACAUACCUCUGGUGUACCAGUUAUCGUGCCAACGGUAAACGCUGGGUAGCUAUGUAUGGAGUGGAUAACCGCUGAAAGCAUCUAAGUGGGAAGCCCACCUCAAGAU
rnacentral:rRNA from 1 species